AGGUUGUUGCGGAGAAUGAAAAUGAUCUGUCUGGGGGUCUUUUUCAUUUUGGCAGCUUUCUCAGGUGUCAGCUCCCAAAUCCAGCUGACCCAGUCUGGGGCAGAAAACAAAAAGCUUGGAGAGUCUGUGAGGGUGACGUGCAAAACCUCCGGCUACACCUUUACCGACUAUACCAUUAACUGGCUACGGCAAACUCCUGGGAAAGGACUGGAGUGGAUAGGACUUAUCUAUCCCAGCACUGGUGGCACAGUCUAUACCCAGGCUUUCCAGGGGCGAUUCACCAUCACCAGGGACAACUCCAUAAGCACGACCUAUCUACAGCUGGGCAGUCUGAGAACCGAUGACACAGCCACGUAUUACUGUGCUAGGCACACACAGUGA